rnacentral:rRNA from 1 species
UACGGAGGGUGCAAGCGUUAAUCGGAAUAACUGGGCGUAAAGCGCUCGCAGGCGGUUGAUUGAGUGAGAUGUGAAAUCCCCGGGCUUAACCCGGGAAUUGCAUUUCAUACUGGGCAGCUAGAGUCUUGUAGAGGGGGGUAGAAUUCCACGUGUAGCGGUGAAAUGCGUAGAGAUGUGGAGGAAUACCGGUGGCGAAGGCAGCCCCCUGGGCAAAGACUGACGCUCAGGUGCGAAAGCGUGGGGAGCAAACAGG